rnacentral:rRNA from 1 species
GUACGGCGAGUGAGCGGCAAAAGCUCAAAUUUGAAAUCUAGCACCUUCGGUGUUUGAGUUGUAAUUUGAAGAUGGUAACCUUGGGUUUGGCUCUUGUCUAUGUUCCUUGGAACAGGACGUCAUAGAGGGUGAGAAUCCCGUCUGAUGAGAUGCCCAUUCCUAUGUAAGGUGCUAUCGAAGAGUCGAGUUGUUUGGGAAUGCAGCUCUAAGUGGGUGGUAAAUUCCAUCUAAAGCUAAAUAUUGGCGAGAGACCGAUAGCGAACAAGUACAGUGAUGGAAAGAUUAAAAGAACUUUGAAAAGAGAGUGAAAAAGUACGUGAAAUUGUUGAAAGGGAAGGGCAUUAGAUCAGACUUGGUGUUUUACGAUUAUCUUCUCUUCUUGAGUUGUGCACUCGUAUUUCACUGGGCCAGCAUCGAUUCGGAUGGCAAGAUAAUGGCAGUUGAAUGUGGCUUCACUUCGGUGGAGUGUUAUAGCUUCUGCUGAUACUGCCUGUCUGGAUCGAGGGCUGCGUCUUUUGACUAGGAUGCUGGCGUAAUGAUCUAAUGCCGCCCGUCUUGA